rnacentral:rRNA from 1 species
AUUGAACGCUGGCGGCAGGCCUAACACAUGCAAGUCGAACGAGUGGCGGACGGGUGAGUCAUGUCUGGGAAACUGCCUAAUGGAGGGGGAUAACUACUGGAAACGGUAGCUAAUACCGCAAACCAUCAGAUGUGCCCAGAUGGGAUUAGCUAGUAGGUGGGGUAAUGGCUCACCUGGGCGACGAUCCCUAGCUGGUCUGAGAGGAUGACCGGCCACACUGGAACUGAGACACGGUCCAGACUCCUACGGGAGGCAGCAGUGGGGAAUAUUGCACAAUGGGCGCAAGCCUGAGGCAGCAAUGCCGCGUGAGUGAAGAAGGCUUUCGGGUUGUAAAGCACUGUCAGCGGGGAGGCGUUACCCGCAGAAGAAGCACCGGCUAACUCCGUGCCAGCCGCCGCGGUAAUAC